UCUGUACCUACUCUCUUUACCUAUAUGCCGAAAAUCUCAAAUUCUUCAGAUCACCCCUGUUUCCCCUUGGCCUCUUCCCUCUUUCCGACGAUUGCAACAACAGAACAUCAACAACAAUCUUCAAUAAUCACGUCUGGUGCUCCGGUGACUGGCAACCCCGCUUUUAAUCAGGUCGGUGAUAUGGAGGCAGAUCGGGUCGUCGGUUCUACAUCAAUACCCCUGUAUUUGGAAUCCUUCUAAUUCGAUCAAUAAUACUUGAAUUUCGUUCUAGAAUCCAGAUUAUGACUAUCAUCUUCUACAUUUCAAGAUUAAGGGAGAUGGAAAAUAUUAAAAAUAAACGUUUACAGGCGUUAAAAAAUUUUGGAGCUGAAAAAAUCUUUGAUGCUAAUCAAUGGGUACAAGCACACAAACAUGAAUUUAAGAAGGAGGUGUAUGGGCCUGCAUUAACUGAGGUUACUUCAUGUUGGGUUUUGAAUUUUCAGUAUGGAUAUGUUUUUAUUAUUUAUUUUCUUAAAUUGAUUUUUAAUCAUGCUUCAGGUCAAUACGGGUUGAACAGCAACACGAGUUGUUAAUAUUAUGA